UUUAACUACCAACAAUAUUAAAAUUGCAGACAGUGGUAAGAGGAUCGUAUCCACAGGGAAUUGAUACUCGUUUACCUUCCUUGAAUAGACCAAAUUAAAGAGAGCAGAAAAGAAAAGAAAGUGCAAGUGCAUGUAAAGUAAAAAUGGGGGUAUUGAGAUUGAUUUGAUUAAGCUAAUGAAAAGAGUAAUUAAAAAGUAAGCAGAAAGUAAAUUGAGGGUAAAACAAUGAUGGUAAAAGCUCUAGUUGAAGAUUUAGAUCCACUUUAGUUGAUGGGAUUGAUCAUUGACUCAAAUGUUCCUUUGUUGAUUCAAUAAAUUGGCUAUGGAGAUUGAAGAAGCUUCUCACAUCCAUAGUCUCUCUUUUAGAUUAAAUUAAUUAGGGAAAGUCCACCAAUCAAUUACUAAUUAACAAUUGCCAAAGAACGUCUUUGAGCCUUAGGCCUUUUGCAAAAGUCAAUCGCAUAAAGUAAUGGAGAGAACCAAUUCUAGUCACCCACAUGCAUGGAGACAACACUAGAUCAUGCAAUUUCCUUGGUUGUGCACCAAGUGUUCUUAUGUUCAAAC
rnacentral:lncRNA from 1 species